UACGUAGGGUGCAAGCGUUGUCCGGAAUUAUUGGGCGUAAAGAGCUCGUAGGCGGUUCGUCGCGUCGGCUGUGAAAUCCCGAGGCUCAACCUCGGGUCUGCAGUCGAUACGGGCGGACUGGAGUUCGGCAGGGGAGACUGGAAUUCCUGGUGUAGCGGUGAAAUGCGCAGAUAUCAGGAGGAACACCGGUGGCGGAGGCGGGUCUCUGGGCCGAUACUGACGCUGAGGAGCGAAAGCGUGGGGAGCGAACAGG
rnacentral:rRNA from 1 species